rnacentral:rRNA from 1 species
CAAGUCGAACGCAGUAGCAAUACUGAGUGGCAGACGGGUGAGUAACAUGUGGGAAUCUGCCUUGUGGUUCAGGACAACAUUGGGAAACCGAUGCUAAUACUGGAUAAGCCCUUACGGGGAAAGUUUUAAUGCCAUAAGAUGAGCCCGCAUUUGAUUAGUUAGUUGGUGAGGUAAUGGCUCACCAAGACAAUGAUCAAUAGCUGAUCUGAGAGGAUGAUCAGCCACACUGGGACUGAGACACGGCCCAGACUCCUACGGGAGGCAGCAGUGGGGAAUCUUGCACAAUGGAGGAAACUCUGAUGCAGCGAUGCCGCGUGAGUGAAGAAGGCCUUUGGGUUGUAAAGCUCUUUUGUAGGGGAAGAUAGUGACUGUACCCUAAGAAUAAGGUCCGGCUAACUUCGUGCCAGCAGCCGCGGUAAUACGAAGGGACCUAGCGUAGUUCGGAAUUACUGGGCGUAAAGCGCGCGUAGGCCGUUGAGUUAGUUAAUUGUGAAAUCCCAAAGCUUAACUUUGGAACUGCAAUUAAAACUGCUCGACUAGAGUUUGAUAGAGGAAAGCGGAAUACAUAGUGUAGAGGUGAAAUUCGUAGAUAUUAUGUAGAACACCAGUUGCGAAGGCGGCUUUCUGGAUCAACACUGACGCUGAGGCGCGAAAGUAUGGGUAGCAAAGAGGAUUAGAUACCCUCGUAGUCCAUACCAUAAACGAUGAUUGCUAGAUGUUGGAAAUUUAUUUUCAGUAUCGCAGCUAACGCAUUAAGCAAUCCGCCUGGGGAGUACGACCGCAAGGUUAAAACUCAAAUGAAUUGACGGG